GACGAACGCUGGCGGCGUGCUUAACACAUGCAAGUCGAACGGAAAGGCCCUGCUUUUGUGGGGUGCUCGAGUGGCGAACGGGUGAGUAACACGUGAGUAACCUGCCCUUGACUUUGGGAUAACUUCAGGAAACUGGGGCUAAUACCGGAUAGGAGCUCCUGCUGCAUGGUGGGGGUUGGAAAGUUUCGGCGGUUGGGGAUGGACUCGCGGCUUAUCAGCUUGUUGGUGGGGUAGUGGCUUACCAAGGCUUUGACGGGUAGCCGGCCUGAGAGGGUGACCGGCCACAUUGGGACUGAGACACGGCCCAGACUCCUACGGGAGGCAGCAGUGGGGAAUAUUGCACAAUGGGCGGAAGCCUGAUGCAGCAACGCCGCGUGCGGGAUGACGGCCUUCGGGUUGUAAACCGCUUUCGCCUGUGACGAAGCGUGAGUGACGGUAAUGGGUAAAGAAGCACCGGCUAACUACGUGCCAGCAGCCGCGGUGAUACGUAGGGUGCGAGCGUUGUCCGGAUUUAUUGGGCGUAAAGGGCUCGUAGGUGGUUGAUCGCGUCGGAAGUGUAAUCUUGGGGCUUAACCCUGAGCGUGCUUUCGAUACGGGUUGACUUGAGGAAGGCAGGGGAGAAUGGAAUUCCUGGUGGAGCGGUGGAAUGCGCAGAUAUCAGGAGGAACACCAGUGGCGAAGGCGGGUCUCUGGGCCUUUCCUGACGCCGAGGAGCGAAAGCGUGGGGAGCGAACAGGCUUAGAUACCCUGGUAGUCCACGCUGUAAACGGUGGGUACUAGGUGUGGGGUCCAUUCCACGGGUUCCGUGCCGUAGCUAACGCUUUAAGUACCCCGCCUGGGGAGUACGGCCGCAAGGCUAAAACUCAAAGGAAUUGACGGGGCCCCGCACAAGCGGCGGAGCAUGCGGAUUAAUUCGAUGCAACGCGUAGAACCUUACCUGGGUUUGACAUGGAUCGGGAGUGCUCAGAGAUGGGUGUGCCUCUUUUGGGGUCGGUUCACAGGUGGUGCAUGCCUGUCGUCAGCUCGUGUCGUGAGAUGUUGGGUUAAGUCCCGCAACGAGCGCAACCCUUGUUCACUGUUGCCAGCACGUUAUGGUGGGGACUCAGUGGAGACCGCCGGGGUCAACUCGGAGGAAGGUGGGGAUGACGUCAAGUCCUCAUGCCCCUUAUGUCCAGGGCUUCACGCAUGCUACAAUGGCUGGUACAGAGAGUGGCGAGCCUGUGAGGGUGAGCGAAUCUCGGAAAGCCGGUCUCAGUUCGGAUUGGGGUCUGCAACUCGACCUCAUGAAGUCGGAGUCGCUAGUAAUCGCAGAUCAGCAACGCUGCGGUGAAUACGUUCCCGGG
rnacentral:rRNA from 1 species